rnacentral:rRNA from 1 species
GACGAACGCUGGCGGCGUGCUUAACACAUGCAAGUCGAACGGAAAGGCCCUGCUUUUGUGGGGUGCCCGAGUGGCGAACGGGUGAGUAACACGUGAGUAACCUGCCCUUGACUUUGGGAUAACUUCAGGAAACUGGGCCUAAUACCGGACAGGAGCCCCCGCUGCAUGGUGGGGGUUGGAAAGUUUCGGCGGUUGGGGCUGGACUCGCGGCUUAUCAGCUUGUUGGUGGGGUAGUGGCUUACCAAGGCUUUGACGGGUAGCCGGCCUGAGAGGGUGACCGGCCACAUUGGGACUGAGGUACGGCGCAGACUCCUACAGGAGACAGCAGUGGGGAAUAUUGCACAAUGGGCGGAAGCCUGAUACAGCAGCGCCGCGUGCGGGAUGACGGCCUUCGGGUUGUAAACCGCUUCCGCCUGUGACGAAGCGUGAGUGGCGGUAAUGGGUAAAGAAGCACCGGCUAACUACGUG